CAGUCGCCACGGUAAUACAGAGGGUGCGAGCGUUAAUCGGAUUUACUGGGCGUAAAGCGUGCGUAGGCGGCUUCUUAAGUCGGAUGUGAAAUCCCUGAGCUUAACUUAGGAAUUGCAUUCGAUACUGGGAAGCUAGAGUAUGGGAGAGGAUGGUAGAAUUCCAGGUGUAGCGGUGAAAUGCGUAGAGAUCUGGAGGAAUACCGAUGGCGAAGGCAGCCAUCUGGCCUAAUAAUGACGCUGAGGUACGAAAGCAUGGGGAGCAAACAGGAUUAGAUACCCCUGUAGUCCCUGUCUCUUAUAC
rnacentral:rRNA from 1 species